AGGGCGUAUGGCGGAUGCCUAGGCUCACGGAGGCGAUGAAGGACGUGAUAAGCUGCGAUAAGCUUCGGGUAGGUGCAAAUAACCCUUGAUCCGAGGAUUUCCGAAUGGGACAACCUAGCCGUCUGAAGGACGGUUACUAGCACUUAAGUGUUAGAGCUAACGCAGGGAACUGAAACAUCUUAGUACCUGCAGGAAGAGAAAAUAAAUGAAUGAUUCCCCCAGUAGUGGCGAGCGAACGGGGAACAGCCCAAACCAGUGGCGUCGCAAGGCGUGGCUGGGGUUGUAGGACCGCGACAUUGUAUGCAAAUCGUGAACAGAACACUUUGGAAAAUGUGACCAUAGACGGUGAUAGUCCAGUAUGUGAAGCGAAAUGCAGCAUAGCGGUAUCCUGAGUAACGCGGGACACGAGGAAUCCUGCGCGAAUCUGCCGGGACCAUCCGGUAAGGCUAAAUACUCCCGUGAGACCGAUAGCGAACGAGUACUGUGAAGGAAAGGUGAAAAGAACCCCGAGCAGGGGAGUGAAAUAGUUCCUGAAACCAUACGCCUACAAGCGGUCGGAGCAUCUUACGAUGUGACGGCGUGCCUUUUGCAUAAUGAUCCUACGAGUUACCGUCACUGGCGAGGUUGAGUGUCAUGAGACACGUAGCCGCAGUGAAAGCGAGCCUGAAGAGGGCGCACAGUCAGUGGGGGUAGACGCGAAACCAAGUGAUCUACACUUGGCCAGGAUGAAGUCCCGGUAACACGGGAUGGAGGUCCGCACCAAUAAGCGUUGAAAAGCUUCUGGAUGAGCCGAGUGUAGGAGUGAAAGGCCAAUCAAACUUGGAGAUAGCUCGUACUCCCCGAAAGGCAUUUAGGUGCCGCGUCGGAUGGUCACCGUGAGAGGUAGAGCGACCGAUAGGACAAGAGGGCUUCACCGCCUAUCGAGUCCUGACGAACUCCGAAUGCUCACGGUUUGCAGUCCGGCAGUAAGGGGGCGGGUGCUAAGGUCCGUCCCCGAGAGGAGAAGAAUCCAGACCGCCGUCUAAGGUCCCGGAGUUCUGCCUGAGUUAGUCUAACGAAGUCUGGUCCCUAUGACAGCUAGGAUGUUGGCUUGGAAGCAGCCAUUCAUUCAAAGAGUGCGUAACAGCUCACUAGUCGAGGGUCCGGGCAUGGAUAAUAAUCGGGUAUAAGGCAGACACCGAAGGCGCGGGAUAGCAAUUUUAAAAGUAUCGGUAGGGGAGCAUACUCACAGCGUCGAAUGGUGUACGUAAGUUAUCCUGGAGCGGUGAGUAAAGCAAAUGUAGGAAUAAGUAACGAUAAGGAGGGUUAGAUUCCCUCCCGCUGUAAGACCAAGGUUUCCCGGGCAAUGCCAAUCAGCCCGGGGUCAGUCGGGUCCUAAGUCUAAGCCGAACGGCGAUGGCGAUGGCAGAGACGGUUAAUAUUCCGUCACUGCCGCAUGGGGCGACGUGGAGACGGAGCAGUGAAACCACCGCGGGGCGACGGAAGUCCCCGUUGAAGAGUGUAGGUGUUGAGGAUGGCAGGCAAAUCCACCAUCCGAGCUGAACUUGAUAGUAUGGAGUCUUCUUCGGAAGAAUCCAAUAGUGUGGGUAAUCAUACUCCCGAGAAAAUCCGCUAAGCUUAACCCAUGCGGCACCCGUACCGCAAACGGACACACGUGGUCGGGUAGAACAUACUAAGGCGUUGAGAGAUUCAUGGUUAAGGAACUAGGCAAAUUGACCCUGUAACUUCGGGAUAAAGGGUCCUCGUGAUGAGCGAGGCGCAGAGAAUAGGUCCAGGCAACUGUUUAACAAAAACACAGGGCUGUGCAAACUCGAAAGAUGACGUAUACAGCCUGACACCUGCCCGGUGCCGGAAGGUUAAGAGGAGAUGUCACUCGCAAGAGGAAGCAUUGAAUUGAAGCCCCGGUAAACGGCGGCCGUAACUAUAACGGUCCUAAGGUAGCGAAAUUCCUUGUCGGGUAAGUUCCGACCUGCACGAAUGGUGUAAUGAUCCGGACGCUGUCUCAACCAUGAGCUCAGUGAAAUUGUAGUAUCGGUGAAGAUGCCGAUUACCCGCGAUGGGACGAAAAGACCCCGUGAACCUUUACUACAGCUUAGCAUUGACCUUGGUCAUCCGAUGUGUAGGAUAGGCCGGAGGCUUUGAAGCGGGAGCGCCAGCUUUCGUGGAGCCAUCCUUGAAAUACGGCCCUUUGGCUGUCUGAGGUCUAACGCGCGCUGCGCGGACACUGCUUGGUGGGUAGUUUGACUGGGGUGGUCGCCUCCAAAAGCGUAACGGAGGCUUCCAAAGGUGCCCUCGGGUCGAUUGGUAACCGACCUCAAAGAGUGCAAUGGCAUAAGGGCGCUUGACUGGGAGGCAGACAUGCCGAGCAGGCAGGAAACUGGGGCAUAGUGAUCCGGCGGAUGUGUAUGGAAACUCCGUCGCUCAAAGGAUAAAAGGUACUCCGGGGAUAACAGGCUGAUCCCCCCCAAGAGCUCAUAUCGACGGGGUGGUUUGGCACCUCGAUGUCGGCUCGUCACAUCCUGGGGCUGGAGAAGGUCCCAAGGGUUGGGCUGUUCGCCCAUUAAAGUGGCACGCGAGCUGGGUUCAGAACGUCGUGAGACAGUUCGGUCUCUAUCUAUCGUGGGCGCAGGAGUUUUGAGUGGUGCCGUCACUAGUACGAGAGGACCGUGAUGGACAGACCUCCGGUUUACCAGUUGUGCCGCCAGGCGCACCGCUGGGUAUCUGAGUCUGGAUUGGAUAAGCGCUGAAAGCAUCUAAGUGCGAAGCCAGCCGCAAGAUGAGAACUCCAUUGAGGGUCGUCAAAGACGAUGACGUUGAUAGGAUGCAGGUGUAAAGACAGCGAUGUCAAAGCCGAGCAUUACUAAUUGCCCGAACACUUUCUUU
rnacentral:rRNA from 1 species